rnacentral:rRNA from 1 species
UGAUAGAUGGGCUCGCGUCCGAUUAGAUAGUUGGUGGGGUAACGGCCUACCAAGUCGACGAUCGGUAGCCGGACUGAGAGGUCGAACGGCCACAUUGGGACUGAGACACGGCCCAGACUCCUACGGGAGGCAGCAGUGGGGGAUAUUGCACAAUGGGGGAAACCCUGAUGCAGCGACGCCGCGUGAGGGAAGACGGUCCUCUGGAUUGUAAACCUCUGUCUUCGGGGACGAAACGAGACGGUACCCGAGGAGGAAGCCACGGCUAACUACGUGCCAGCAGCCGCGGUAAUACGUAGGUGGCAAGCGUUGUCCGGAAUUACUGGGUGUAAAGGGAGCGUAGGCGGGCAGGCAAGUCAGGCGUGAAAUAUAUCGGCUCAACCGGUAACGGCGCUUGAAACUGCAGGUCUUGAGUGAAGUAGAGGUUGGCGGAAUUCCUAGUGUAGCGGUGAAAUGCGUAGAUAUUAGGAGGAACACCAGUGGCGAAGGCGGCCAACUGGGCUUUUACUGACGCUGAGGCUCGAAAGUGUGGGGAGCAAACAGGAUUAGAUACCCUGGUAGUCCACACCGUAAACGAUGAUUACUAGGUGUGGGGGGACUGACCCCUUCCGUGCCGGAGUUAACACAAUAAGUAAUCCACCUGGGGAGUA